AAUUCGAAAGAAAAUACCAAACAUUUUCAACAAAGGAUUUAAAAAAAGCUUUAAAGAAAUUAAAACUGGAAAACGGUAGUAUUCUGGAGAUAAAAUUUGUCGCGAAGAAAUUGCGCAUCCUCCUUAAUAAGUCAAAUAAUACGGAACUACAUAAUUCUGAUAGUCAUGCAUCUGCAGACAUUGAUCACGAUAAUCUAAUUGGUAAAAACUUCUGGGGUUACGUUAAAAAAUUUUUCAAAAAGAAUACCAGUUCACUUCCAUCAUUUAAUUUAGCGCAAUGUACAUCCUAUUUUACCAAAACAUUCUCCGCGAUUAACCCAAAUAAAACAUUCAAUAUUCCUAGUUGGAUCCCAAAAUUUUCUUCUCCUCAAACACCUUUUAAGCUUGACCCCCCGACCUAUCAAGAGAUUACAAACGUCAUACGUAAAAUGAAACUGUCUGGCUCACCAUGCCCACUUGAUCAGAUAUCAAUAAUCUGUUUUAAACGAUGUCCGUAUCUACGUUCCUACUUGACUGAGAUAAUCCAUGCAGCUUGGUCACGCGGUGUUGUUCCAUCUGAAUGGAAAAAAGCAUGCACAAUAUUAAUUCACAAGAAAGGAGAAACAAACGACCGAGCAAACUUUUUACCAAUUACUCUUGAAUCCAUCCCGCUUAAAGUCUUCACAUCAUGUCUUCGAAAUAAAACAUUUGAAUUCCUGUCAGACAAUAAUUACAUAGAACAAAACAUCCAGAAAGGUUUCACUCCAAAACUCUCAGGAACACUAGAACAUACUGCUCAGAUGGCACAUAUAAUUAACACAGCGCGUACCAAGCAACGAUCUAUAGUUAUUACAUUAC